GAAACCCGGUGAUCUAGCCAUGGGCAGGUUGAAGGUUGGGUAACACUAACUGGAGGACCGAACCGACUAAUGUUGAAAAAUUAGCGGAUGACUUGUGGCUGGGGGUGAAAGGCCAAUCAAACCGGGAGAUAGCUGGUUCUCCCCGAAAGCUAUUUAGGUAGCGCCUCGUGAAUUCAUCUCCGGGGGUAGAGCACUGUUUCGGCAAGGGGGUCAUCCCGACUUACCAACCCGAUGCAAACUGCGAAUACCGGAGAAUGUUAUCACGGGAGACACACGGCGGGUGCUAACGUCCGUCGUGAAGAGGGAAACAACCCAGACCGCCAGCUAAGGUCCCAAAGUCAUGGUUAAGUGGGAAACGAUGUGGGAAGGCCCAGACAGCCAGGAUGUUGGCUUAGAAGCAGCCAUCAUUUAAAGAAAGCGUAAUAGCUCACUGGUCGAGUCGGCCUGCGCGGAAGAUGUAACGGGGCUAAACCAUGCACCGAAGCUGCGGCAGCGACACUAUGUGUUGUUGGGUAGGGGAGCGUUCUGUAAGCCUGUGAAGGUGGCCUGUGAGGGUUGCUGGAGGUAUCAGAAGUGCGAAUGCUGACAUAAGUAACGAUAAAGCGGGUGAAAAGCCCGCUCGCCGGAAGACCAAGGGUUCCUGUCCAACGUUAAUCGGGGCAGGGUGAGUCGACCCCUAAGGCGAGGCCGAAAGGCGUAGUCGAUGGGAAACAGGUUAAUAUUCCUGUACUUGGUGUUACUGCGAAGGGGGGACGGAGAAGGCUAUGUUGGCCGGGCGACGGUUGUCCCGGUUUAAG
rnacentral:rRNA from 1 species